ACCUGCGCCAGACCAGCGGCUCGAAGGAACCGCCGCCACCGCGGUCUUCCUGGGCACGCCGUAGUAGCUGCGAUUGACCACCAGCCUUCCAGAUCCGAGGACCACCGCUGCCGAGGUUGAUCGCCGGCCUCUCGAUCCGAGGAAUCCCCCGCUCCUAGGCUGGGGCGCCCACACCAUGACGACGGAUUCCGCUGUGCGCGACGCAGCAGAAACGAUCUGGCAACGUUGAUCUAGGUCCGGACGGAUCCAGUCUACCGUUACUAACACCUACGACGUACUAUGGUUGUUGUGGUGCUCCAUCAGAAAUGGAACCCGAGUCCCUCUACUCCGAGGAGAGAUGGACCGAAAGAUUUGGCUUUGCAGGGACCAACAUCUACACUGAGAUUCUCAAGCACGCCACUCCUGUAGACAGAUGAAACACGUAGAAGCUUAUUUUAGUUUGGCAUGGUCCUGCCCUUGACGGCGUCGUCCGCCGCCGCCCCGCAUACUCAUCCCACAGGCUCGCUGCCUCCGCCUGCGAACACUGGGUCCUUGCACGCUCGACGCCGCCGACAUGAACACCAGCUCUCUGAAGCUGUUACCUGGAGCUAAAGGUAGACUUUCUGUUUUCCUCAAUCUUUCCCCAGUUGCAUUGUUCUGUUCAUGGUGCCAAAUAGUGCAUUGUUGUGUUCAUUCAUUGGUCCAUUUCACUUCUAUACUGGUAUAUAUCCAAAUAGUGCAGUGUUGUAGCUUCUAUUGGUUCAGAUUGGUUCAGCUUAGUUCAUAUUUUGUUUGUCUAUGUUUGUGUACUUGCUGUAUGACAAACUAAGGAAGCUGGGCUUCAGUGGUUUAGAUUGGUUCUUCUGCAUUCCUUCAGAUCGCGCAGCUACUUCUAUUUACAAAUCUGAACUGCUACUCCUCAAUACUACUUAUGUUUACACGAGUUGUGUAUGUACCAAAUUUCAACUUCUCAGAUUCAAAGUUAUGCAUGAACCAAAUCUAAACUACUACUUCUGUUUACACGAGCUCGGUAUGUACAGGGGUACAACUUGCGCUCAGUAAUGCAGGUUUGAACCAACAUGAAUUCUGGACUUUUUUAAUUCGAAAACGCUGAUCUGCUCUGUUCGUUAAGUCCUCAUAGUUUUGAAUGUGAAAUUGACAGUAAACAACAUUUAAUCUGUGUCACUAUAGUGUGUUCUUCUUAGUUAUUACCCUUCUAUAUGAUUGAUGUAGUAUGGGCGGUUUAAAAGAAAGAUAGCUAUUGAAUAUUUGACCAAAGAUUUAUUCGCGGUAUUUAGUUUUGAUAUUCAAGUUGGCUUAUUACAGAUUUCGAAUUUGAUCUAACUUUCAUUGAUUUGAUGUAAAGUUACAGGUAAGUCUCCACUCUCUUUAUUAAUGUAGAUAUAUAUGCUCCCCACUUAUGGGAUCUCACGGUAUCAUUCCUUAUGUAUGUAAAAAAAUCAUUAAGAAGGAUAGGAGACAUGCAUUGUGAAGCCUAAAUUUUUCAGGAUUUAUACGGAUCUUAAAACUGAACCUUAUUGGCAAUGUUCAUAUGCUCUUUCUGGAAGUGCUAAGAGUAGAGGUGCAUGAAAUUUUUCUUUCAAGUUGAACCAUCCAACAUUUACUUUUAUUCAAUUGUUCAUAACGGUUUCUUUUUCCUGCAAGAACGCGAGGCAACGUUCAAAUUAAGGGAUUGAGUUUUCUGUAAAUUUCUCAACCAAAUGAAUAUUAAAUAAUCACCAAUACACUUUGUGCCAAUUUUUUGUGCCUUUGCAAUGUUGUCCCAGGAGUAGUGGUGGUAGAUCGUAAUCAUAAGCUGUUUUGCAUCACAUUGUCGUUAUUUAAAUAGUGUUUUUCUGUUUGCUGGAAACUUUAUGGUAAUACAUCUAAAAGCUCAUUAAAUAUAUCCAACCCUUCUUUUGAGAGGAAAAUGAGAACCUUUGGUGCCAUCAGUGAUAGAAAACAUUAUUUGUCCAAUGAAUAUAUAUUUUAAGUUUGUGUGAUACACUUUUUAUUAUUGACAUUCUUUCUUGCUAUCUUCGACCUUUUCUGAAUGUUUGGUAGCUCUGAGAAGUUAACAGGUUGCUAUUCUUUCUUACUAGCUUCUGGGACCUGUAAUGGUAUUAUUAGAUUGUCUUCAUAGGCAAUCUUUUAUGCAUUCUACUGAAACGGGACUUUUUUUUUGAACAGGGGACCGGGUCUAGAAAGACCCCGAAGAAGCUGCAUUAACUCGGUGGGUACAUUUUACAGUACAGGCCCUGAAAGAAAGAAGCUUGAAAGCAGGCCAGGAAAUUUACACAGAGGACCCUAAAAAGAAAAUUGCAAACGCCAUCCAGUCCCAGAAGAUCCUCUUCUCCACCGCUGCUUGAAUCCCGUCGCCGGCCGGCCUUUUCGCGUCGGGGACACACCACUUGACGCAGGUAGAAUGGGGAACUCCGACCGGAACUCAACUUGAAAGGCCUCCUUGACGGCACACCGGCCUGGAGGUUGAUGGAGGAGCUGCGCCACACGCAGCAUCCCAGCGCGGAGUGGCCGCAUCGGCCUAGAGUAACAGCGGCGCCAAAUUGCCGCCGUUUAGAAGCUCCGCAGGUUGCAGCCAACAAGAUCCCCGACCAUCCAGCUCGAGAAAGAAUACACAUCCGCCACCAUCCUUGCCAUCCACCUCCUCGGUGGCCUGAAGAAGACGGCUGCAGACACACAUCUUCUCGAUCUGAAUCACCACCAAAUACGAGCUUAUUGGAGGAGAUCCCAGCGCCGCCGCCACGCUCCGCCUCCGGCUCUGUCCUCCAGAGUGCCACAAAGGAAGCGACGAACACCAGGAGUCGCUGGAACUGGCUCGCGCAAACCAGCGACUCACUCCAGUCGAGCACAAGGCCCAAACUCCAUAAAGGUAGCCCUAAACUAGAACCUAGCCUACUAUUUACAGAGGAGCCAGACCACCUAAACCUUCUCUUCGCCGGCCAGCAUCGCCACCGGAGAGAGGAGGCCAGGGGCGGCAGGGAGGAGGAGGAAGCGACUCUCAACUAGGGCGAUAAGGGAGAGGAGACAGGGUGAACUGAUCGAGUCCGGUGAAACGGACUGAUGUAGCUAAAUCUCCCCAUCCUUCUAAGUUCCCUCACUUUCUUUUAUAUGCGAUGAUUGUUUAGGGUGUUUGAACGUCUUGCAAUUGGUUUUUCUCAUUAGUUGUAACAUAAAACUGAAUCCUUUCCCUAGGAUUUUUUUUUGACGGAUUCCCUUGGAAUUUGGAUAUAAGUAAAACUUGAAAUGUACUUCUCUCGGUAGCUGAAUAUUGUUAGUUUUACGUGUGCUAAUUACAACUUCGUUGCUUUCCCAAUUGGUACACAGAGGCAUUGCCCUUAGAUACACAUUAUUUUUUGGCUUUCUUAAUUUUUUGAUGGACUAUUAUACAAUUGUUUAUAGAGUCAUGGAAGAAAACAAAAAUCUUUA